CCUACGGGUGGCAGCAGUGGGGAAUAUUGGUCAAUGGGGGGAACCCUGAUCCAGCGACGCCGCGUGAGUGAAGACGUAUUUAGGUAUGUUAAGCUCUAUCAGUAGGGAAGAAAAUGACGGUACCUGUCUAAGUAGCUCCGGGUAAAUACGUGCCAGCAGCCGCGGUAAGACGUAGGGGGCCAGCGUUAUCCGGAUUUACGGGGGGUAAAGGGAGCGUAGACGGUGCAGCAAGUCUGAUGUGAAAGGUUGGGGUCCAACCACGGGACUGCAUUGGAAACUGUUGAACUGGAGUACAGGUGAGGUAGGCGGAAUGCGUAGUGUAGCGGUGAAAUGCGUAGAUAUUAGGAGGAACACCGGUGGCGAAGGCAGCUUACUGGACUGUAACUGACGUUGAGGCUCGAAAGCGUGGGGAUCAAACAGGAUUAGAUACCCGAGUAGUC
rnacentral:rRNA from 1 species